CGGGCCUGGGCAGCCGGUCGAGGGAAGGCCCCAAUGGCCCCCACAGACGACUCAAGGUCGAGGGUCGCGCCACGUCGUCUGGCACCCGGGUCUCCAAGGGAGCGUCAGCCCUGGCCGACCAUAACUUGGCCAAGAGAUUAUGCCAGGGGACCCUCCUUCCGACCGACGUGGAGGUUCUGAAGGCUCGGCAGGUGACCGAGAUGCUGUCUUCCUUUUACCCGACCAUGAUCGGGGUAAGUUCUGCCU
rnacentral:lncRNA from 1 species